UUUGGUGAUCAUAGCUACAGGGAUACACCCAGUUACAUUUCGAACCUGGAAGUUAAGUCUGUAUACGCCUAAGAUACUUAGCCAGCUGGCUUGGGAAAAUCGGUAGUCGCCAAAC
rnacentral:rRNA from 1 species